rnacentral:rRNA from 1 species
GGAAGUAAAAGUCGUAACAAGGUUUCCGUAGGUGAACCUGCGGAA